GGUGCAGAGGUAGUUCUUGAAAACAUCCAGAGUGGUUUCCAUAGCGCUGAAUCUCGUGGCUUCUUGUUCCCUGUGGACUCCUCUCUGUCACGUUUGCUCUGGUUUGGACCAGAGCCGGAGAGUGGCAGAGCCUAUCGUCACUGCAACGUGAGGGUCGGCCCUUGUCUUUGCAAUAACUGUCCUCAUCUUUUGCCCCGAGGCACACAUUUCCCAGACGGACGGAGUGCUGAAAAGAAAGAGUGAUUCGGACAGCCUAAAUGAAGACCGAUAUUUGCGAUUGGAUCACAGACAGGCACGUUCAAGCAACUGACGCCAGACGUGGGAUAUGCGCUCACACGGAGUGCUCUUCCCGUGCUUUCCAGCCCUCGCCACCAAGCCCCGAUACAUGGAUCCUGUCUGAUUGCCUUGUGAAUUUUGUCAUAGCUUCAUAUAGUGGGAAUGAGUGUGGACCCUGCUCGGGAGGAAGAAGCGAGAGCUGAGUGUAUGCAGGCAAAGUAGGAACCACACUGCACACACAUGCCACAUUGUGGGUACAACAGCCCCACAUUUCCUCCUUCUUUUUUUCAACUUGAUUAUUUAAAGUUUAUUUAUUGAUUUUUGAGAGAGGUGGGCGUGGGGCUAGGGACAGAGGGAGAUUGGGAAUCCACAGCGGUGCAGAGCCCAACGUGGGACUUCAUCCCAUGAGCCAUGAGAUCACGAUCUGAGCUGAAAUCAAGAGUUGGAUGCUUAACCAACUGAGUCACCCAGACGCCCCAUGCUUCUUUCUUUUAAGUAUCAGGGACAGCUUGUCACACAGAUUCACCUAAGCCACAGCAUCAAUUUAGGCUUGUGACUCAGGACCCCCAUAAACACACGUAUUGUUGACAGUCAUCAGGCGCGUCCCAAAAGAAGUAUUGUUUUGUCAGGGUGGCCCUAACAAAAUACCAUACAUGGGGUGGCUUAACCGCCAGGAAUUUACUUUCUCACAGUUCUGGAGGCGGGAAGUCCAAGUUCCGUGGCUCAAGGCCCGAGAUGAAGCUGGCAGUGGGUUUGGUCUGCAGCCUUUCUCCUCAGCUGCAAGAUGGCUGCCUUCUUGCUCUGUCAUCGCACGGUCUUCUUUCUGCGCAUGUCUGUGUCCCAAUUUUCUCGUCUUCUAAGAACACCAGUCAUAUUUGUUUAGAACCCACCUUAAGGACCUUCUUUGGACUUAAUCACCUCUUUAAAGAGCCCAUUUCCAAACAUAGUCACAUUCUGAGAUGUUGGGAGUGAGGGCUUCGACAUACAGAUUUUGGGGGGAUGCAAUUCAGCCCAUAACAAAAGAAUAACAAAACAUACAGAAGUCUAAUGCUUUGUCCUUCAUUUACGUGGUUUUGUUAGUGACCUUUGUUUAAUAUAAUAUGGACUUUGCUUUUUUUUUUUUUUUUUCUGCCAAUAGCCAUUACAGAUUUACCCUUACUUUCUUUUCUAUAUCAGAUUGUCAGCUAACUACCAAAGGAAUUGCGUCUUGGUGUCCCUCCCAGGACCCAGCACGAUGUUUGACAAAUAAAAGUUCAAGAACGGUCGCCGGUU